AGUGGUCCAUGAGAAUUUGUAUGGGCAUGCUCCCAUCUCUCUGUUUCUCUCACUAUAUUUUCACUUCAACAAAAGAAAAAUAAAGGGAUAUGAGAUCUGAGAAGAUUUGAAGGUUUUGUGUUUAAUCUCGCAAGUCCUGGUCAUGCUUUUCCACAGCUUUCUUGAACUUCUUUGCCUUGCUUAAUCUGUGUAUAUAUAGAUCACUACAUGUACAGCUCCUAUAUAUAUAUAUGUAUGUAUGUAUAGCGCCAUGGAAGCUCAAGAAAGCUGUGGGAGAACAUGGCAAUUCAGGAUUUUUUUGGGCUCUUUUCUUGCUGUUACGGUCAAGACCUCUCCUUUCCUUCAUGGAAUGCAUACAAAAACCUUUCAUCUUCUUCCUCCCUGUAUGGAUCGUGAUGGGGUCCAGCCAAUUAGGACAAUCUACAACUUGCAAAACAUCUCAUUGGCUAAUUACAGCGAAGGGAAUAAAAAAAAAUUCGAAAGAUUUCACAAAAGAAGUCACCAAGGAGAUGACUACCUAGCCAACCAAACAGACAUAUUACCACAAGAAAGGACCCUCCUUGUAUAUGAAGGCCGGAAAGCUAGCUAGCUGAAGAGAUAUGAUAUGGCAGCUAGCUAGGGCAUCAUGUCAAGGUACGUGUCUCCCAGCACAACAGUCUUUCCUAAUAAAUAAGGUGAAAUUCUGUUCCAUGAAAUUAACUACUCCAUCGUUUGACAAUCAUGUGACAAGCUGUGUUUAAAGAUCAGGUUCACAGUCGUGGAGCAUCAUCAUUCAAUAGCAGCAGAUGAUCUUCUAUAUGCUGAUUUGAAGAUAUUAUUAUUAUUAUUUAUGAAUAAAUGUAUCCAAAUUUAGGAAGACUUUUUCAGUACUGCGCACUUGAUAUUCAAUUUAUUUCUCUCUACAACCCAUCUUGAUUAGAUUUAAAUUGAUGUAUUCUAUGUUCUUUUGACCUGCAUUUAAGCAAUAAUAAUGCUUGUACAUGUUUCUGAUAA